CUUUAUUAUAAUACGGAUUGUCGUGGGUUGUUUUCCAAGAAAGGCAACAACAUUUGAAAACGUUUAUAAAUUGCUUUGAAAUCUACAAUUUUGUUCAAUAAUGAACGUGGAAUAUUUCAAGACACCGAGUUUGAAUAAUAGGAAAAAAGUUGUGUGAUCUUAAAGCCAUGAGUACACCACCACUAUGCACCUUUGCAACAGGAAACACAGGCACAUGUUUAUUGUGGAUUUUCGAAGACAAGCAUUCAGUAAGAGUUUGUUAUUGUAUGAAGCAGAUAAACAAUUGGAUGUCCAGUCAGAUUUGUUGGAAGCUUGGAUAACUGAAGCUGUAAAGAUGGUUGAGCAAAGAAAUGCAUUGUGAGAAAUCAGGACUGAUUAGUUUGAACCCUGGAAACUGAAGCUUAGCAACAUCAGACUGAGAUAAAGCGUGGAAGUCAAAUUUUAACAUAUAGAAAUGAAGUAAUGAACUUUGAGAAAUAGACUAAUUUCUUUGAAUUAUGUAGUGUACAGUAUACUGGUACUUGAAGCUUAGUAAACUCUGAUGUAUGGAGAUGAAGCAGAUAAAUUGUGAAAAGUUUAAACCACAACAGACAUUUUUUGCGCAUCCAUAAAUGAAUGAUUAUGAAUUAAAGUACAGUUUGCCAAGUGAAGUUUGUGAUUUAGUAAGUAAAAUAGGUGUUGACCUUUAAAAAUGCUGAAGUUUUUGUCUGAUUCUGGACCUAGUUAAAUAUAGAAUGUUGGCCCAAUUCAGAACUUAAUUUAAAAGGCUGGUCCCAUUGUGAGUUAAAUUUCUGGACUAAUGGCUUAUAGAUAAAAUUCUGAAUUUAAGUUAAAAUGUUGAUCCAAUUCUGGUGGUAGGGUAGUGUAAAUUAUUGGUCCUAUCAUGGACUUAGUGUAAAAUUCUGGACUUAGAAAAUUCUUGAAUUAGUGUAAAUGGUAGAGUCCUAUUCUGGACUUCGUUAAAAUUCUGGACUUGUGUAAAUGGUUGAGUACUAUGCUUGACUUAGUUAAAUUAAUGUAAAUGGUUGAGCCCUAUGCUGUACUAAUAGUUAAAUUAAUGUA